CCAUUUCUUCCAUUCUUUCCAGGCUUCUUUCCUAGCAGAAUCUCCAGUAGUAGGAUUCCAAAAGCGUAAACAUCAGUUCUCGAAUUGCACUUCUUCAUCCUUUGCAGCUCAGGUGGCUUGUAACCAUCAGCUUUUGCUAGUGCUAUGAUUUCAUCAGCUACAGCUGGGAUCAUUAUCUUGUCAAGUCCAAAUUCAGUAAGCCUCGCAACGAAGAAUUUCAGGUGGCUUGUAACCAUCAGCUUUUGCGAGUGCUAUGAUUUCAUCAGCUACAGCUGGGAUCAUUAUCUUGUCAAGUCCAAAUUCAGUAAGCCUGGCAACGAAGAAUUCAUCGACAAGAACAUUCUUUGACCUAACAUUCCCAUGGGUAAUGGGUGUUUCUAGACCGUG
rnacentral:lncRNA from 1 species